rnacentral:rRNA from 1 species
CAGUCGAACGGACUCAUAUUGAAACCUAGUGAUUUAUGAGUUAGUGGCGGACGGGUGAGUAACGCGUGGAUAACCUACCGUAUACCGGGGGAUAACACUUAGAAAUAGGUGCUAAUACCGCAUAAGCGCACGGCUCCGCAUGGGGCAGUGUGAAAAACUCCGGUGGUAUACGAUGGAUCCGCGUCUGAUUAGCUAGUUGGCGGGGUGACGGCCCACCAAGGCAGCGAUCAGUAGCCGGCCUGAGAGGGUGGACGGCCACAUUGGGACUGAGACACGGCCCAAACUCCUACGGGAGGCAGCAGUGGGGAAUAUUGCACAAUGGGGGAAACCCUGAUGCAGCGACGCCGCGUGAGUGAAGAAGUAUCUCGGUACGUAAAGCUCUAUCAGCAGGGAAGAAAAUGACGGUACCUGACCAAGAAGCCCCGGCUAACUACGUGCCAGCAGCCGCGGUAAUACGUAGGGGGCAAGCGUUAUCCGGAUUUACUGGGUGUAAAGGGAGCGUAGACGGCAGCACAAGUCUGGAGUGAAAUCCCGGGGCUUAACCCCGGAACUGCUUUGGAAACUGUGCGGCUGGAGUGCAGGAGGGGUAAGCGGGAUUCCUAGUGUAGCGGUGAAAUGCGUAGAUAUUAGGAGGAACACCGGUGGCGAAGGCGGCUUACUGGACUGUAACUGACGUUGAGGCUCGAAAGCGUGGGGAGCAAACAGGAUUAGAUACCCUGGUAGUCCACGCCGUAAACGAUGAUUACUAGGUGUCGGGGGACCAAGGUCCUCCGGUGCCGGCGCAAACGCAUUAAGUAAUCCACCUGGGGAGUACGUUCGCAAGAAUGAAACUCAAAGGAAUUGACGGGGACC